UACGUAGGGUGCAAGCGUUGUCCGGAAUUAUUGGGCGUAAAGAGCUCGUAGGCGGUCUGUCGCGUCGGCUGUGAAAACCCGGGGCUCAACCCCGGGCCUGCAGUCGAUACGGGCAGACUAGAGUGUGGUAGGGGAGACUGGAAUUCCUGGUGUAGCGGUGAAAUGCGCAGAUAUCAGGAGGAACACCGGUGGCGAAGGCGGAUCUCUGGGCCAUUACUGACGCUGAGGAGCGAAAGCGUGGGGAGCGAACAGG
rnacentral:rRNA from 1 species